GACAGCCACAUCAAGUUGAAACUACCGGUCUAUAUCUGAUCACCGAAGUUAAGCAACGUCAAGACGGGUCAGUACUGAGAUGAGCGACCGCUUAGGAAUACUAGGUGCU